UUUGGUUUUAAAUUUUAUUUUCAUGUACAGUUUCAGAUUAUACAAAACAUAGAAAAUGUACUAUUUUAAAGGCACAUUAAGGAGAAAGUAUUUAACUACCCUAAAAAUCACAUUUGUCCACAAACCAAGAUUCAGACAUAACCUCUAGGCCUUUCCCUGCGUGUCCUCAUCACCACCGCGCCCGCAAUAUACAAAACUGCCCAACACGCUGUGUUAUAAGUAACCUUUCAACGAUUAGCAAGUUUAGUCAUUCCCCACCCAGGCAGAUUCUAAAAGAUGCUACAGCUUCUAUCAAAGCUACUAUGUUUAGUGUGUUUACAUACAGGCUCGGGGGUCCACGUGUCCUCGGCAUUAGUUAACACAGAGCAUCCCAGGACCUCGGCCUGUCAAUUAGGGAUGCACACAGGCCAGCGACCUGACGCAGAGGAUGGAGGAUUGGGAGGGAGGUCUCCAAUUCUCCUAUGUUCAGGUAGAAAUAUUUACAUUCACUCAGAGCUACACAUACAUCAGUUUUCCAAACUCACAUCACAGAGACCCAAAGUAAUUUUAAUGUAACAAGACGGGUUAGUCUGUCUCCAUCCGUAGCCCCUCCAUGAAAGAAUUACAGUACUGUAUAAAAAUGUCCUAAAAUGCGCAAACUACAGUUCCUUCAAAUACAGUUGUUACCAGUAAUAUAUUUGGUCCUAAUUUUUGCUUCCUGGAUGACUCAGUUUUCUUUGUUGUUGAAGUUCUUGAGUAAUGGAUCAUAAGCACCAAGGGCUGAUUCUGCCUACAGAGAAGAAAUGUGGGUAUUUUCUCCCUGAUGCAUUACCGCUUUCCCACCUCCGCAAUGCAGGGCAGGCAGCUCUCAUGAGUCACAAAACCUUGCCAUCGCAGUGGAUGUGGAUGUAAGUGCUGUACAGCCAGGAAAAUCCAGGGGUCGUUUCAGAUUCUCGUGUACCCCUCAAGUUCUGGAGAAGAAAAAACUUGGGGAUGAGGCUUACCAGAGUUCUGGUUCUGAGGGCUGCUUGCUUGUUUCCAUGUGGCCACCAGGAAGCUAGAGAAAAGCCACCUGGCUGGAAAGCUGGGGGCACGUUAGACCCACCUUCCUCCAGCGGCUCCUAUAGCAUCCUCCAAACCCCAGGAAUGUGAUUGCUCUGACCCACCCCGUGCCUGAGUUUUCCAGGAGGUGCACUCUGUCCUGAUCCUGGUCUGAUGUCAGCCUGCCCUGUGUUGGUGGUCUCUCUGUAGGGAGGGUUUGUCCUGCCUCAGGGAGGAUGUCUGGAUUUGCUCACCAGUGUUUUCAAAGCCUAGAACAUAGCAGGCGUGGAGUACUCUGUUGAAAAUGAACAAUGAAUGAAUUGAGUAGAUGGACAGAAAAACCCAAAUUCUGCACUGAAAAGGAGUCCACGGUGGCCCCUAGACUGCUCAACACAGACCUGGGCUGAUGGCAGAUGGCUGCCACUCAGCAGGUCAAGUGCAGAAGCAUUUAGGCAGCACCUGUGCCGAGACGUGGCCAACAGGUUGCACUGGCCCAGGCAUACCUCCCCAGAAGCCUGCUCAGAGCACCAGAGGAAAAGGACAGAGACGCACAAAGAGCUCAUUCAAUGGGGCACGCCCCACGGUCAGGCGCAUUGCCACGCACCGCACCUCACGGUGCUUUUACAUCUAAGGACAAACUCCCCAAAGCCGCAUUUGUCAGUAGAGUCUCAGAAUUGUCUGGAACACCCACCCACCUAGACCCUGACAAGGCAGAUUCCCCCGAGUGGCACUUGGGCUCACUCACGUCUGAGAACCACAGCAGACGGGGCUCCUGCCACUGCUUCAUUGGCUAUCAGGACCCUGGGAUGCUCCACAGAACUAAACGUUCUCUUGAUGGAAUAGACAAUGCUGCCCAAUAAGUGCCAGCUGCACGGGCUAAGCGAGCAAUGUUUAGGGUGAUCUCCAUGCCUCCCAGGGCAUUUGAAGAUAGGCAGGCACAAAGCAGGUUCCCUCCCACCCACUGGCCUCGCUUUUCAAUCCUUGAGUAUGGUCUUCGAAGCCUUCAUUACAGUUUUUAUAGUUUUUCCUAAUUGGUUUUUUAAUUCAUCUUCUCCUUAGAAAUGAGCCCAGGAGAAAUUAUCACCAAGCCUUAUGCUGAUGAAUGAAUGAAUGAAUGAAUGGGUAAAUGAAUGGAUGGUGGAUGGGUCCUCUGAGGCUCCAGAAAUGGAGUUAGUAGAGGCCACCAGCUUAGAAGGCAGGUCAGGAAGAGAAGGGAAAGGCCUUCUGACUUAGGGUUAUAAGGAGGCUGUGCCUCCCAGGAUGGCUGGCUAUUGGGGUGUGGGGCCUGGGCCUGGAGUUUGGGUGGUCCAGAUGAAAGCAGCUGAGUUAGGGACAGGGAAGAAUCCAGAGCUGAUGGAGGCCAGGGCUUUGGUCUGCAGUGGGGUCUAGACCGCCUCCCAACUUGAUGAUUAGAGCUUUAAUGUUUGAGAGGCAGUUCUGCUCCCUGGGUUCUGGACUGUGGCCCUCAGCUUUAAGGCACAUAAGCAUCACAAAGAAGCUUGUUAGUAAGGCAGGCUCCCGGGCCCCACCCCAGAAAACUGGGAUUUUGUAGGUCUGGGGGUGGGCACCCGAUAGUGUGCAUUUUACAAGGUGUCCUAGGGAUCACAAGAGGAAAGUCUUUGCCUCAGGGUAAGCCCACAUCUGAACCCCCCUCCCAAGGCAAGCAGGGGACGCCGUCUGCAAAUUUCGGUGGCACCUUCUGGACCUAGCCCGUUAUAGGCAGUUAGGGCUGUGGUCUGGAUACAGGCGGAACACCAGGGUCCACACCUGUUUCUCAUAUGGAACUUGGCUAAACACCUGAGGAGGUUUCAUCCCUCACCUGGCCGCCGCUCACCCCACCUUCCACCACUGACACCCAGAGAUUCGGGAAAGGGAAGCUGAGAUGAGGAGGACAUGGUGUGGCCCAGACCUGGCUUUCUCGGCCUCGUCCUCACAUCCUGUCCCCGUGGUAAGGAAACACGCCGCUGAGCAUUUUAGGAUUUGAGCAUUGCUGGAUUUUUGGCUUUGCCUCAUUGGGACUUUCCCACGGCGGGAGUUCUGAAUUCCAGCCUUCAUAGUCUGUUCUCUGAUCUCAAGAAUGCAAAAACUCUCUCUCUCUCUCUCUCUCUCUGGCUUUUAAAGGAAACAAUAUGUUUGCUAAAAAAACC